rnacentral:ncRNA from 2 species
AAACGCUUGUCGGAGUGCCGUAAGGCUGAGAUCGCAACAGCGAGAUCCGUGGAACCUGUAGGUUAGUACCUGCGUAGGGAACAAGUUUUACCCAAAU